rnacentral:rRNA from 1 species
UACGGAGGGGGCUAGCGUUGUUCGGAAUUACUGGGCGUAAAGCGCACGUAGGCGGCUUUGCAAGUCAGAGGUGAAAGCCCGGGGCUCAACCCCGGAAUUGCCUUUGAGACUGCAUCGCUAGAAUUGUGGAGAGGUAAGUGGAAUUCCGAGUGUAGAGGUGAAAUUCGUAGAUAUCAGGAAGAACACCCGUGGCGAAGGCGGCUCUCUGGGACGGUACUGACGCUGAGACGCGAAAGCGUGGGGAGCGAACAGG